UAGACCAGGCUUCUUGAGCCUAAAGGUGGGUGGCCUCCUCAGUCCAGGUAGCCAUGGCUCGCUGCCGCCGCCCGAGCCCUGUUCACCAACCGUAGCUGGUUGGUGUGCACUGGAA
rnacentral:lncRNA from 1 species